rnacentral:rRNA from 1 species
UACGUAGGGUGCAAGCGUUAAUCGGAAUUACUGGGCGUAAAGUGUGCGCAGGCGGUUAUGUAAGACAGUUGUGAAAUCCCCGGGCUCAACCUGGGAACUGCAUCUGUGACUGCAUAGCUAGAGUACGGGUAGAGGGGGAUGGAAUUCCGCGAUGUGGCAGUGAAAUGCGUGAGAUAUGCGGAGGAACACCGAGUGGCGAAGGCAAUCCCCUGGACCUGCACUGACGCUCAUGCA